UACGAAGGGGGCUAGCGUUGUUCGGAAUCACUGGGCGUAAAGCGCACGUAGGCGGAUUUUUAAGUCAGGGGUGAAAUCCUGGAGCUCAACUCCAGAACUGCCUUUGAUACUGGAGAGCUAGAGUCCGGAAGAGGUGAGUGGAACUGCGAGUGUAGAGGUGAAAUUCGUAGAUAUUCGCAAGAACACCAGUGGCGAAGGCGGCUCACUGGUCCGGUACUGACGCUGAGGUGCGAAAGCGUGGGGAGCAAACAGG
rnacentral:rRNA from 1 species